AUGGUUCAGAUAGCAAUCGGCGGCGACCGGCGACGGUAGCGAUUCCAAAACAGCAGCGAAAUGGCAAAGAAUCUGGAGAAUAACCUUAUUGACGCGCACUCCCAGUACGUCAGCAUCGACGAAUACCGUCCGGAGUACACCGCCCACUACGACGCCCUGCGAAAGGAGAUCUACAGCCAGUGGAAGAGCCACGAGACGCUGGGGAAGCUGGUCAAUGGAUACACACUAGGAGGAGGCUAUGGCGACAACCUGAAGGUCGGAAUGCCGGAUGAGUUUGAUUUGGUGAUUCAUCUGCAGUUUCCCGAAAAUGACAAGAUUAUCGUUACAGCGGAUCGCUCCAGGCCAGGCAACGUGAUCCUGGACAUGACCAAGGUAAUGCAGAUUCUAUGGACGGUUUUCCAGCUUCUGCAGAAGAUCGUCAACAAUAAGCAGCAGUUGGUGGAAGAUAAGCUGCAGAGCUUGCUGCAAGGCCUGAUGACCCAGGCCCUCAUCAAGAUGGGUAACCAGAUCGAGGUGAAUGGUGUGGUUUCGCCCCUCAAGUACAGGAGGUGCGGCCCCGCCCACACCAUAGAGGUGAAGGGGCGCUACGUAUACUCGGUGGACUUUGUCCCAGCCAUCAAGCUAGCGCCCGCCCAGAACGUUUUAGGUCCAGAGCAAAGACGGCAUUUCGGACAGACUGCGUCGUGGGACGCCAUUCCCAAACCCAUAAAGCCGCCCCGGCCUGAGAACGUCUCUUUCAGGGCUUCCUAUUACGAGGCGGAGAAGAAACUAAUUUACGGCAAGAACAAUCUGAAAAACGGAAUCCGGUUGCUGAAGCAAUACCGCAACACCAAGAAUAACAUGAGCAAUCUGAAGAGCUACUUCAUCAAGACGCUCUUUCUCUGGGAGGUGAUCCGGCAGGAUGCCAGUUACUGGCAGAAGCCCGUCAGCGAGCUACUGAUUGAGAUGCUGACCAAACUGGCCGACGUUCUUAGCCUGUCCUCAGCCAAGGGCAAGGGAAAGCUGCCUUUUUUCUGGGAUCCCAAUCUAGACAUGAUCGCUGAUCUGGACAACAAUCAGCGGAAAAACUUAUUCAAUUGCGUUAUCGGAGCCCAGUUGGACUUCCGCCGGGCCGAUGGUAAUCUCACCGACGACAUCAAGAAUCGCGUACACAACACUUUUAGCAAUGGCGUCAAGGACAAGGGGCUGGAGAACAAGCCUUUGAAUGGACAGAUCAACAAGGCCAAUACUGCUGUCGUCAAAGAAAAGUCUCCUCCUGUGGUGAAACCAAACCCAACUCCCAAUGAACCUAAGAAGAAAGCUGCUGUCCAGACCGAAAACAAACCCAAGGUGAAUGUUAACACUAAGGAAGUCAAACCAAAUCCAAAACCGAAUGAGCCAAUGAAAAAUGGAGUGGCCCAGACCGGAACCAAACCUAAGGCGAAGGCUGAGCCGCCUGUCCAAGUCAAACCGAAUGAACAGAAGAAGAACGGAGAGGCCCAGACUGGAGCCAAGCCCAAGGUUAAGGUGGAGCCGGUCCAAGUCAAGCCUAAACCAAAUCCAAAUGAGCAGCAGAAGGGCAUUAAACCAAAUCCUAAUCAAAACCAACCAAAGGCCGCCAAGGGAGUGACUCCUCCAGUCCAGACCAACCAACCAAAGGAAACUAAAGCCAAUCCCAAUGCCAGUGCCACAAUGGCCAAGGCUAAUGUUCAGCCAAAUUCCCAGCCUCAGUCAAAGGUCAAUCCCAACAAAAAUGGUGCCUCCGCUCCCCAGCCAGAGACCAGUUCCAAAACGAAUGAGUCCAACUGCAACAUUAACUAACUAUAAAGCCUGGCCAUAGUACCCGACGCCAGUCCGUAUCUCUAUCUGCCGAUGUCGCCGACGACGCGUUGUUUGCUAGCACGUGAACAUUAUCAGUGGACGCGACGAACGGCGGGGUAAUUUGACUUUGCCGCGACCACAACUACAACAAAUCACCCAGAUAGGGUUGGGACCGGCAACUGGUGAACUGACGGCAUGCCCUCCACUGAAGGUGGAACAGCUUGACCCCCAAAAAAUAUCAAGUAUAAAUAGUAUUCAUUUAAUACAAAGCUUCGUCAUCGUGGCGUACACGCAAUAUCUUAUCAUAUUCACUAGUUCAUUGAGCUCUUCAACGACUUGUGAUCAUUAAUUAGUGGCUAAUCAUCCCGGAAUCACAAAUUGACACAAACAAGCAUUAAAUUGAUAAGAUGUCAAACGUUUUAAUGUCAAUCGAUUCGUUUAAGCGGAGAAGGUGCGUUUCAUAAGUUUAGGAGUAAAAUAAAGGUGAAAUAACGUUAAAAGGCCUUAAAAAAAAGAAAUUUAAAUAAAACAUCUGUUCCCGCCAUGUGCCUAAGUUAAACGACAAAUUUGAAUUUAAAUUCUCGAUCAAUUGCCGCCACAACAGUAAAUCGAUAAAUUUCUAUGACGAUCAAUUCCGGUAUUAUCGUGUUAUAUUGAGCUGGUCACACUUCGAUGUAUUUAUAGUGGAAAAUGGGCCGGUCAUACUACAACAAAUAUUUCACAUUUUUGCAAUUGCAUACUUCUGGGGAUGCGUUGUAGCAUACUUUUAGGCCGUACCAUGAAUUUGCACAAAAAUUAAUUUGCUUGCUGCUGCCUUCUGUUCGCCUGGUACUUCAGAUCAGAUUUUGGACUGAAAAUGUCGAAAGUGAAUCCUUGCUUUUGCCUACAACAACAACAAGAUCAUCUACAACAACAACAACAACAAAACCUACAAC